rnacentral:tRNA from 3 species
CGCCCGAGUAGCUGGGCUUGUCCUGCUGCUCCGGACGCGGCAUGCGGAACACUGCCUGCAGCAGCGCCGGUGCGACGCCCUCCUGGCUGC